rnacentral:rRNA from 1 species
CCUACGGGUGGCAGCAGUGAGGAAUAUUGGUCAAUGGGCGAGAGCCUGAACCAGCCAAGUCGCGUGAGGGAGUACUGCCCUAUGGGUUGUAAACCUCUUUUGUCGGGGAGCAAAACCCGGUCGUUUCCGCCUGUCUGAGUACCCCUAGAAAAAGCAUCGGCUAACUCCGUGUCAGCAGCCGCGGUAAUACGGAGGAUGCGAGCGUUAUCCGGAUUUAUUGGGUUUAAAGGGUGCGCAGGCGGAUUUUUAAGUCAGCGGUAAAAUCGUGGGGCUCAACCCCAUCCAGCCGUUGAAACUGGGGAUCUAGAGUGUGCGAGAGGUAUGCGGAAUGCGUGGUGUAGCGGUGAAAUGCAUAGAUAUCACGCAGAACCCCGAUUGCGAAGGCAGCAUACCGGUGCACAACUGACGCUCAGGCACGAAAGCGUGGGUAUCGAACAGGAUUAGAUACCCUAGUAGUC